CCCUGAAAAAAGUCGCGUCAAAAACCAGCGGGGAGACUGGAAUGCGCAAGCGCCGAGACACUCCCUACCCAUCACGUACCCCACCCUGGGCGGUUUUGGUCGUUGCGGGGCAAGUGACCACGUGACACCCACUGCCCUAGCUGCUCCAAACUAAGAUUAAUGGCCUUCCAUGGACUAGUCAGGCUCAGCUCUUCUCUUUUUCCAGGACUUCCUAUACACCUAUUCUAGGGUCUCCCCUGCAAUUCCAAACAACACAAGGAUGUGGUGCUAUGCUACAGUGAAGAAUAUUCCUCUGGACUUCUGCAGCUUUUUCCUGUAUGCUCAUCGAGCUUGCUGUCAGGCAGUCCUUCAGUAUGGGUUUGCCAGCGUGGGAGUUGUUCACAGCAGAAGUUGUUACUGAUGAGUGAUGCAGGGCUACAGAGGCAAGCCCUUUGGGAGUGCUGCUGGUGCAACAAGUAGUGCUUCCAGGUGGCAGAUUGCCUCAGCAUAAGAGAACAAGGUUCCGGUCUUUAGAUCUGUCAUAUGUUACACAGAACUCAGGGAAUCUUGUCAAUGACUUCAUGGAUAAUAAUCAGAGUGGAAUCAAA